CUCAAAAUCUGGAGUGUGGUUGUUGUGAUAUGAUGUGUUUGUCGAUAGAGGGCAGUGUUGAGGUGUGGUUUCUCUUUGUGUUGCUCCUCAGAAAGACAGGUCACUCGGGUCAGAAAAUAAAGUCAUAUACA